CAUGUGUGUGUGUAUAUAUAGUUAUAUAUAUAGUGUGUGUGUGUGUGUAUAUAUACACACACACACACACACACUAUAUAUAUAUACACACACACACACACUAUGUUUGUGUGUGUGUGUGUAUAUA